rnacentral:rRNA from 1 species
UACGUAGGGGGCAAGCGUUGUCCGGAUUUACUGGGCGUAAAGAGCGUGUAGGCGGCCAUGCAGGUCCGUUGUGAAAACUGGAGGCUUAACCUCCAGACGUCGACGGAAACCGCGUGGCUAGAGUCCGGAAGAGGAGAAUGGAAUUCCCGGUGUAGCGGUGGAAAUGCGCAGAUAAUCGGGAAGAACACCCGUGGCGAAGGCG